GACGAACGCUGGCGGCGUGCUUAACACAUGCAAGUCGAACGGAAAGGCCCUGCUUUUGUGGGGUGCUCGAGUGGCGAACGGGUGAGUAACACGUGAGUAACCUGCCCUUGACUUUGGGAUAACGUCAGGAAACUGGGGCUAAUACCGGAUAGGAGCUCCUGCUGCAUGGUGGGGGUUGGAAAGUUUCGGCGGUUGGGGAUGGACUGGCGGCUUAUCAGCUUGUUGGUGGGGUAGUGGCUUACCAAGGUUUUGACGGGUAGCCGGCCUGAGAGGGUGACCGGCCACAUUGGGACUGGGAUACGGCCCAGCCUCCUACGGGAGGCAGCAGUGGGGAAUAUUGCACAAUGGGCGGAAGCCUGAUGCAGCAACGCCGCGUGCGGGAUGACGGCCUUCGGGUUGUAUACCACUUUCGCCUGUGACGAAGCGUGAGUGACGGUAAUGGGUGAAGAAGCACCGGCUAACUACGUG
rnacentral:rRNA from 1 species